GAGGUUAAAUCGGGGUACAGGGUAGUUGUUCGAAAAAUGAUAAGAAUGUCGAGUACGAUAAUUCUGAAAUGUUGGCAUUACCAACAUAAUAUUUUUUUUUUUAAAUAGUAAAUAAUUUGACAUUUUAAAUAUGUGCUGCACUGAAUAAUUCGUUAGCUAUUAUUUAUUACAUAAUAAAAAUUAUUGAAUAAGCUAUUUUUAACUAAUAUUGUUCUGUGUUCAUAACUCUUUAAAUAGUCCUAUUAGCUAUUGCGUAAUUUGUUGACAAAAGACCUAAGUUAGGUCAUGGUAUAAUCCUUAUACUAUGAGUUAGGUUAGGUAAUUAAGAUUAUAGGUCUAUUGUCUUUGGCAUAGACAGAGAAAAUACUAAAAUUACUGUAUACUGUAUAUAAAAUUAGUAGGUAAUAGGUAUACUUAUCUGUGGAAAAUAGGUCUAUUAUAGUAAUAUAGUCUAAUGACUGCAGCUGUCUGCACUCUGCUUAUUUUUAAAUUAUUUGGUAUGGAGUUCUGGACACUGGAAUACUGGACGUCUGACUACACCCAACAUCCGUACGCUACUAGUACACUACUAUGUUCAAUGCUGAUGCACUGUACUUGGAAUUUGGAAUUUGAAAAUUUAAGAAGAAGGUCUGGCUCUCCUAAAAUACAUGAAAUAUAAAUAUUCAAAAAUUGAUGAAUCUCUGCGAUUAAAAUAAAUUGUGAAUUACCUGGAUAAGGACCAAUUUGCUGGGUUAUAUAUCCAUCUAUCCUAUGGCCUGCUCUACGUAGAAACGUUAUUAUACGGUCUUCCGAAUGGUCUUCAAUCAAAUCAUCAAUGAAAUCUCUAAUUGUCCUGGUAUUUCGGUCUCUCAUAACAACUAUGAAACUUGCCUUCAAAUUAUUUGAGGCUUGUUUAAAUUCCACUUCGCAAGUAUUUUCUAAAUACCUCAACUGGUCUAUAGAUGAAAAACAAUAUGUGACAGACUUUUGAUUAGUAACUGGUAUUAACUAGUUAAAUGAAAACUUACCAAUAAAUUCCCAUAUUUUUGGAUGAGGCCUUAUGAUUUUUAAGAGUACGGCAUGCUUUUACAGAUUUGGUUGUGCCUGGAAUGUGAGGGCAAAGUGUCGGUUUUCAUUCAUUUCUAAAAGUUGAUGGAGGUGUAAAAGAUUCCUUGGAGUUGGGGGGAAUAUGGAUUUUCUUAUUUGGCGCAUUCUCUCUGUGGCUUGGAGUUGUUUUACUUUUAAAGUACAUAUAUCCUAAAUUGUCCUUGAUUAUAUGUUCUGUGCGGUGAACACUGGGAAUUGUGACAUAGGAGUGAGGACGUUCAUUGUCAUCUUCCAGAACAUCAACAUCCAUAGGUUCCAAUUGAUUUAUAUAUUCUUGAACUAUAUUUAAACCAUUGAAAAAAAAUAUAUAAAAUGGUAAAAUUUGAUGGGCAUUGUGAGAGAAAAAAACCUUUCUAUUAGAAAUUGUCUUCAGACAAAAAAAAUACUUUGUACGUACCUGGUAAUAUAUAGUCGUGAUCCAUUAAAUGAAAAUUUGCCAUAGUAAAAAAUUAAAUAAAAAUUUAAAAAAACCUUCAAAAAUGUGUAGGAGUGAAGUUUAAAUAAAAUGUGUAUAGAUUGAGUUAAACAAACCUGUGACCCAGUUUUCUAUAAUAUGUUAUAAUUUCAAGAUCUAUAAAUAAAUAAUAUUGGAUUUUCACACAAUAGUGAUAAGUAAUCAUCUUUUCUUCUAUCUUAUUAAUUGUAUUAAAUAUGAAACAGCAUUUUAGAUUUCAAGCAAAGAGAUGAAAAUUAUUUUUUAAUUGCAUAUAUAUUUUUAUGUAUAUUUUUUUUUGUAUAUCUAGUAUUUAAUUAAAAUAAUAAAUGCAUCAAAUAC